AAUCAACGCUGGCGGCGCGCUUAACACAUGCAAGUCGAACGAGAAAGUGGAGCAAUCCAUGAGUACAGUGGCGCACUGGUGAGUAACACGUGGGUAAUUUACCUCUUUGUGGGGAAUAACCCUGGGAAACCGGGGAUAAUACCGCAUACGUCCGAGAGGAGAAAGCCGAAAGGCGCAGAGAGAGAAGCCCGCGCCCGAUUAGCUAGUUGGUGAGGUAAAAGCCCACCAAGGCGACGAUCGGUAGCCGGCCUGAGAGGGCACACGGCCACACUGGCACUGAAACACGGGCCAGACUCCUACGGGAGGCAGCAGUGGGGAAUCUUGCACAAUGGGGGAAACCCUGAUGCAGCGACGCCGCGUGAACGAUGAAGCCCUUCGGGGUGUAAAGUUCUUUCGACAGGAACGAUAAUGACGGUACCUGAAGAAGAAGCUGCGGCUAACUACGUGCCAGCAGCCGCGGUAAUACGUAGGCAGCAAGCGUUGUUCGGAAUUACUGGGCGUAAAGAGUGCGUAGGUGGUUGGCUAAGUUUGGUGUGAAAUCUCCCGGCUCAACUGGGAGGGUGCGCCGAAAACUGGCUAGCUAGAGUGUGGGAGAGGGACGUGGAAUUCCUGGUGUAGCGGUGAAAUGCGUAGAUAUCAGGAGGAACA
rnacentral:rRNA from 1 species